CGAAACCUUCAUCCUCGGGGGCUGCUCGGCGGCGGUGACCUCGCGCCGGCGGCGGGCUCCACGAUGACGCCUCCUCCAUCCAACCCCAGGCACCGCCUUCGAAGACGCCGCUUCGCCGUAUGAUCUCCCAUCGCUCCCGCUGGCACGAGAGGUUGCUGGUGAGGAUUUCCCGGCUCCCUUCAGUUCGGAUUCGAGAGCCGAAAUAAUUUCAUCUCGCUUCACUUGGGCUGACUGUCGUGCUUAACCUAGGACGCUGGUUAACCAAUUUCCUUUCGCACAAUUUUUUAUUGUUUCAACAUAUUGCGGCUGUCAGUGUCUACUUUUCAUCAUCAAUAGAUAAAGAAGCAAUGCUGAGAGGAGAGAGAGUGUGCCAUAGUAAUACGAAACCAUGAUUCACGAGAGCAACACUAAUGAUUCAACAGAUAAAGAAGCAAAUGUUCUAUUUUUUGUAUUAUGGUAGGAGUAACUAAUAAAUGAUCUCGGCUUGAAAAAGGCAUGACGCCGUGCUGAGUAUCUUGGAUGACAAAAUAGGAAGCCAAGUACUAACAGAGAUCGAGAGGAGCAAGCAGGGAGACACAGUGAUGCCUCAUGAGCGGCCAACAAUCUCGUCAAUCUGGGCUUGAGAAAGGCAGAGAUGCCUAGCUUGAUGAUGUCGGAUGAUAAGUGAAAUACUAACAGUCGUCGGUAGUGUGUUCACCAAGGUUUGGCUAAUCCUCACACUACUGAUAGGUUGCCGGUUCGCUUGUCGGUGAUGACUUAUUAGGGCUCUCGGCAGGCAACCACCACUGAUGGGCCUGCUUGUGCCCAUCAGAGGUGAGUUAUAUCGCUGACAUCUGCGCUAAUGCCUGUCUAUAGUGACGAUCACCCAUAACUGUCUUCGAGCAACGACAUUUUUGUUUUUAGUUGUUUAUAACUAGCUGUUGCAACUCUUCCCAGUUGUGAUUAUCUUCAGAAUAUUGAGAAGUACGGUAACAUUGAAAGGAUCUUCAUUCUUCACAAUUGUAAAUACCAGUCAAUUUAUCAAAUAAAGUUCAGAACUCUGCCAAUGUAUCAGGUGCUGCUGCUACAUAAAAACUCAAAUGCUGCAAAUUUGCAAUCAAACAGUUGUACAAACUACUCCAGUAAACACUACCUACGGUCAGUUAUGUGAAUUAUUUCUGUAAUUAGGCCACUUGCCAUUUGCAAUCAACUCAUUGGUCUCCGGUUCUGUGUGUGAAUCUUUUUUCACAAAAUCAGUUGAGUCUCUUUCUGCCUGGAUUGAGACAGGAGUACCAUGGAAUUGCAUGGGACGUUUUUAGCAUGACGUGUAGUGGUCUUGGCAGUAUCUUUCCUUUGCUCAGCACUUCUACAAAUUGCACGGGUGUACAUACCCGUCGUUUGUUUCUGGCUGUAGGUGAACCAUUCCUGAACUCCCUGACCAUAGCCCAUUAUAUUGACUAGUAACUCAUAAUGUAGUGGCUCUGUUCUGUGGCUGUUUUUAGGAAAUAUGGCACGAUGACUAGAACAUGCUUGCUGCUGAAUUUACCACUGCUUUUCUUCUCAGUUUUUUAGUGACAUUUUGAUAUGUUUCUUUGCAGAAUAAUUAAACAGAGGCUAUCGCCAUCGAGAAGCAGACCAUCACUGCCAUCACUAUCACCCAGGAAAUGCGCCGGUUCUGCAGCCUCUCGGGGUUGUAAUUUUAUAUGAAGAAGAAAGAAAUGCAAGAUGAUCUAAUUAUUGCGGCGAGGAAUGCACCAAGUUGGCAUUUCGGCAUCUACUAGCAGUCUUAUCUAAGAGAUACUCCAUCCGAUCCAUAAUAAGUGUGGUUGGGGGAUUUAGUAAUCUUGUACUGAAUCCCCGACACUUAUUAUGGAUUGGAGGGAGUAUGAUGCAAUUAUCAAGAGGAUGCGCAUUGCACAAGAACUGUUUGUAAGCAGGUUAUAAAAUUUCAGAUUAACAGAUUCACAUUUGUAUUAAUGGAUAGGAUCAUAUUAUGUGGCCAUGUACUUUGUAAUUUAUCUGUGAUCUGCGAGUUAUGCACGGUAAUUGGCUGUGAUCUAA